AUUAAAAAUGGUGUGAAGACUUGGUGAAGCAGGAGGUCCCACGGGGGUGAGGCCGACGGAGUCCUAACGAAGCAUGCCCGACUCCGGAGACCGGUUCAGUGACGCAGAUCUAAGUUUAUUGUGUAAGUGCAGCAACAUAUAUAACAUUCCAGACCAAUCAGAAGUUUACAACAUCCAUAGGGCAACCAAUAGUAGGAAAGAUCAGGGUACUAUGUAGGGGCUCUAGGGGGUCUGCUCAGGCGGGCGAUGCCACUUCCUGGUGUGCCGAGGAAGCUUGUGCAGGCGGAGUGUGCUCACCCCAUUGCAUCUGCCACAGCACUGAGAUAAAUCUCCUGAGCUCUUCCU